rnacentral:rRNA from 1 species
AUUGAACGCUGGCGGCAGGCUUAACACAUGCAAGUCGAGCGGAGAUGAGGUGCUUGCACCUUAUCUUAGCGGCGGACGGGUGAGUAAUGCUUAGGAAUCUGCCUAUUAGUGGGGGACAACAUUCCGAAAGGAAUGCUAAUACCGCAUACGCCCUACGGGGGAAAGCAGGGGAUCUUCGGACCUUGCGCUAAUAGAUGAGCCUAAGUCGGAUUAGCUAGUUGGUGGGGUAAAGGCCUACCAAGGCGACGAUCUGUAGCGGGUCUGAGAGGAUGAUCCGCCACACUGGGACUGAGACACGGCCCAGACUCCUACGGGAGGCAGCAGUGGGGAAUAUUGGACAAUGGGGGGAACCCUGAUCCAGCCAUGCCGCGUGUGUGAAGAAGGCCUUUUGGUUGUAAAGCACUUUAAGCGAGGAGGAGGCUACCGAGAUUAAUACUCUUGGAUAGUGGACGUUACUCGCAGAAUAAGCACCGGCUAACUCUGUGCCAGCAGCCGCGGUAAAAC